AUUCUCUCCUCACUACUCUAGUUAGCAUUGUUCACCUCUGUCUUUCGUGGUGACUUCAGAAUUAUUCAAAAUGUGGGACAUUGCACCCUUCAGGUCUCCAUCUGUGCCCAGAGCUAAAGCUGUCCCACAGCCCUCCAUACCCAACUCCCACCUGGCGAGAGCUGGUCUCCCCGGAGUGCUCUUACUCAUAAGAUCACAGGCUCACAGGACCACAAGAGGGAUAAGCUACCGUCAGAGACAGCAAGACUAACUACCACCAAAGAUAACCAGAUAGCGAGAGACUGCUGAUGAAAUGAGCUGGAUACAUAAUGUUCUAUUUCCACAAACAAGAUGAUGAUGAAAAAGAAACCCAGAUCUCCUCUUUUACAUUUCUCAAACAUAAAUUAAAUCCCAUUUUCCUUUAAAACGUCU